UAAUACGGAGGGUGCAAGCGUUAAUCGGAAUUACUGGGCGUAAAGGGUUCGUAGGUGGUUUAUUAAGUUAUGUGUGAAAUCCCUGGGCUUAACCUGGGCAGGUCAGAUAAUACUGGUAGACUCGAGUAUGGGAGAGGGUAGUGGAAUUUCCGGUGUAGCGGUGAAAUGCGUAGAGAUCGGAAGGAACACCAGUGGCGAAGGCGGCUACCUGGCCUAAUACUGACACUGAGGAACGAAAGCGUGGGGAGCAAACAGGAUUAGAUACCCUGGUAGUCCACGCUGUAAACGAUGUCAACUAGCUGUUGGUUAUAUGAAUAUAAUUAGUGGCGCAGCAAACGCGAUAAGUUGACCGCCUGGGGAGUACGGUCGCAAGAUUA
rnacentral:rRNA from 1 species